UACAGAGGUCUCAAGCGUUGUUCGGAUUCAUUGGGCGUAAAGGGUGUGUAGGUGGCGCCGUAAGUCGGGUGUGAAAUUUCGGAGCUUAACUCCGAAACUGCAUUCGAUACUGCGGUGCUUGAGGACUGGAGAGGAGACUGGAAUUCAUGGUGUAGCAGUGAAAUGCGUAGAGAUCAUGAGGAAGACCAGUGGCGAAGGCGGCUCACUGGACCGGAACUGACGCUGAGGCGCGAAAGCGUGGGGAGCAAACAGG
rnacentral:rRNA from 1 species